AACGCGAAGAACCUUACCAGGAUUUGACAUGCCCUCUAUGGAUUCCCGAAAAGGAAUCCUUCACUUCGGGUGGGAGGUGCACAGGUGCUGCAUGGCUGUCGUCAGCUCGUGUCGUGAGAUGUUGGGUUAAGUCCCGCAACGAGCGCAACCCUCGUCCCCUGUUGCCAUCAGGUCAAGCUGGGCACUCUGGGGAAACUGCCGGUGAUAAGCCGGAGGAAGGUGGGGAUGACGUCAAGUCCUCAUGGCCCUUACAUCCUGGGCUACACACGUGUUACAAUGGCGGUGACAAUGGGUCGCGAUCGCGCAAGCGCUAGCCAAUCCCAAAAAGCCGCCUCAGUUUGGAUUGUACUCUGCAACUCGAGUACAUGAAAUUGGAAUCGCUAGUAAUCGCGGAUCAGCACGCCGCGGUGAAUACGUUCCCGGGCCUUGUACACACCGCACUACUA
rnacentral:rRNA from 1 species